CAGAUUUGGGGUCGCCACAAUCUCCAGUAAAGGUUCCAGCCCAGGUUAUGGCUAUGCUGUUUCCGAAACUAGUGCCAAUCAAAGCAAAAGAGGUGCUAAUUCCUGAUCCCGAGGUGGAAGAAAAGGAACGAAAACGUAAACAUGACCUUGCCUUGAUGAUGGCAGGUAUUUGCGUCAUUGUUCAUGAUGAACAUACAAAUAGAUACACCCCAGAUGAUGAUUUCCCAGAUGUUAUGGUUAUCAUUUGGGAAAAGGAAGACAAUGACGAUCCUUCCAUCAUUACAGUUCAUCAGGACUUUUGCCUCGACAAUUGGAGCAGCACUCCAUGCAUUGGUCGAUGAGGGUAAAAUGGGCAGAAAAUCCCUCUACCCCGUAGAUAACUUUAAUUGCUUGCUUUCCUUUACAGCACUAGCAGUUAUUUUAUCAAGUACAUGCUAACACUUUUGUAUGAUCAAACAGUUGCAUAUAUUAAGUGAAAGCAUCUUUUGUUUCAGGACUCUGAAUUUAGAUGUGCAUGUCUUUGCUGAUGACAUGCCUUCUCUCCACAAGGGUUGUAACUUUGAUGCAAAGUUGGACUCAGACUUGAUGGAUAUACAAGAAGACAUUGAGACACCUCAGGAGAUUAAGGAAUGGGUCGCAGACAAACCCAAACCCAAUCUUGAGCAAAACCACUCCUUUUAAUCUCGGAACCUUAG
rnacentral:lncRNA from 1 species